UUGUAGCUUUGGAGAACAGCACUACUCACACACCUUUAAGCUCAUCACAGUGUUCUUGCAUGAAGCAAGUCAUGCUAUUGCUUGCAAACUCACAUGUGGUCAUGUGGAGGGAAUCCAAGUCCAUGCAAAUGAGGGUGGCGUCACACAAACGCGUGGUGGUGUAUAUUGGUUGAUAUUACCUGCAGGAUAUCUUGGCUCAUCAUUCUGGUGAAUGACUUUGAUACUCGCAUCAACAAAUCUCCUCACUGCGAGAAUUGCUGCUGGUUGUUUAAUUGUUGCUCUAUUUGUGGUGUUCUGUAUUGCUAAAAACGUAAGAUUGCUAUUUCAUAUAUUUCAGUGUUGAGAAAUGCAAACAUUAUUGCAU